rnacentral:rRNA from 1 species
UAAAUAUAACCAUGAGACCGAUAGUAAACAAGUACCGUGAGGGAAAGUUGAAAAGAACUCUGAAUAGAGAGUUAAAUAGUACGUGAAACUGCUUAGAGGUUAAGCCCGAUGAACCUGAAUAUCCAAUAUAGAAAAUUCAUCAUUAUGACUCUAAUAUUUUUAAAUAUUAUAAUAAUAGUGUGCAUUUUUUCUAUAGAGGACAUUGUAAUCUAUUGAUAUAAAAGAAAUUUAUUAUAAGAUCGAUUGCGCAAGUUUAUUCAAAUUAUUUUGUUUACAAUUUAACAUAGAAUAAAUGCUCUCGAUUUGAUAAANUGUUGAUAGAUU